rnacentral:rRNA from 1 species
CUGGAGGUAUCAGAAGUGCGAAUGCUGACAUAAGUAACGAUAAAGCGGGUGAAAAGCCCGCUCGCCGGAAGACCAAGGGUUCCUGUCCAACGUUAAUCGGGGCAGGGUGAGUCGACCCCUAAGGCGAGGCCGAAAGGCGUAGUCGAUGGGAAACGGGUUAAUAUUCCCGUACUUGGUGUUACUGCGAAGGGGGGACGGAGAAGGCUAUGUUGGCCGGGCGACGGUUGUCCCGGUUUAAGCGUGUAGGUGUGUGUUCCAGGUAAAUCCGGUUCACUUUAACACUGAGGCGUGACGACGAGGCACUACGGUGCUGAAGCAACAAAUGCCCUGCUUCCAGGAAAAGCCUCUAAGCAUCAGGUAACAUCAAAUCGUACCCCAAACCGACACAGGUGGUCAGGUAGAGAAUACCAAGGCGCUUGAGAGAACUCGGGUGAAGGAACUAGGCAAAAUGGUGCCGUAACUUCGGGAGAAGGCACGCUGACACGUAGGUGAAGUGAUUUACUCAUGGAGCUGAAGUCAGUCGAAGAUACCAGCUGGCUGCAACUGUUUAUUAAAAACACAGCACUGUGCAAACACGAAAGUGGACGUAUACGGUGUGACGCCUGCCCGGUGCCGGAAGGUUAAUUGAUGGGGUCAGCGCAAGCGAAGCUCCUGAUCGAAGCCCCGGUAAACGGCGGCCGUAACUAUAACGGUCCUAAGGUAGCGAAAUUCCUUGUCGGGUAAGUUCCGACCUGCACGAAUGGCGUAAUGAUGGCCAGGCUGUCUCCACCCGAGACUCAGUGAAAUUGAACUCGCUGUGAAGAUGCAGUGUACCCGCGGCAAGACGGAAAGACCCCGUGAACCUUUACUAUAGCUUGACACUGAACAUUGAGCCUUGAUGUGUAGGAUAGGUGGGAGGCUUUGAAGUGUG